rnacentral:rRNA from 1 species
AUUGAACGCUGGCGGCAUGCCUUACACAUGCAAGUCGAACAGCAGCACGGGUGCUUGCACCUGGUGGCGAGUGGCGAACGGGUGAGUAAUACAUCGGAACGUACCUUAUCGUGGGGGAUAACGCAGCGAAAGCUGUGCUGAUACCGCAUAAGCCCUGAGGGGGAAAGCGGGGGAUCGAAAGACCUCGCGCGAUUAGAGCGGCCGAUGCCUGAUUAGCUUGUUGGUGGGGUAAAAGCCCACCAAGGCGACGAUCAGUAGCUGGUCUGAGAGGACGAUCAGCCACACUGGGACUGAGACACGGCCCAGACUCCUACGGGAGGCAGCAGUGGGGAAUUUUGGACAAUGGGGGCAACCCUGAUCCAGCAAUGCCGCGUGAGUGAAGAAGGCCUUCGGGUUGUAAAGCUCUUUUGUCAGGGAAGAAACACCGGCUCUAACACAGUCCGGGAAUGACGGUACCUGAAGAAUAAGCACCGGCUAACUACGUGCCAGCAGCCGCCGUAA